GAUGAACGCUGGCGGCGUGCCUAAUACAUGCAAGUCGAGCGAACGGACGAGAAGCUUGCUUCUCUGAUGUUAGCGGCGGACGGGUGAGUAACACGUGGAUAACCUACCUAUAAGACUGGGAUAACUUCGGGAAACCGGAGCUAAUACCGGAUGAUAUUUUGAACCGCAUUGUUCAAAAGUGAAAGACGGUCUUGCUGUCACUUAUAGAUGGAUCCGCGCUGCAUUAGCUAGUUGGUAAGGUAACGGCUUACCAAGGCAACGAUGCAUAGCCGACCUGAGAGGCUGAUCGGCCACACUGGAACUGAGACACGGUCCAGACUCCUACGGGAGGCAGCAGUAGGGAAUCUUCCGCAAUGGGCGAAAGCCUGACGGAGCAACGCCGCGUGAGUGAUGAAGGUCUUCGGAUCGUAAAACUCUGUUAUUAGGGAAGAACAUAUGUGUAAGUAACUGUGCACAUCUUGACGGUACCUAAUCAGAAAGCCACGGCUAACUACGUG
rnacentral:rRNA from 1 species